AUAUCUGCCUUCUAACACUCUCCUGUAGUAUCUGUUCUUAUCAGUUUAAUGUCUGAUACGUCCUCUAUCUGAGGACUAUAUAUUAAAUGGAUUUUUGGAACAGGGAGAUGGAAUAGGAGCUUGCUCCAUCCACUCCACGCAUCGACCUGGUAUUGCAGUAUCUCCAAAAAAAACAAACAAA
rnacentral:snRNA from 1 species